rnacentral:rRNA from 1 species
GACGAACGCUGGCGGCGUGCCUAACACAUGCAAGUUGAGCGACGAACCAGGGCUUGCCCUCGGCCAAAGCUGCGAACGGGUGAGUAACACAUACGUAACCUACCCCCAUAACCGGCACAACCCACGUAAACUCGGGCUAAUACCUGCUGUACUCUCUGUCCUUCCGUUCAGUUCAUUAGUGAAACUUCGUCCUCCUUAUCCUGAUAGACCCACCCGCGGUUCAUUUGCUAGUUGGUGAGGUAACGGCUAACCAAGACAGCGAUGGGUAGACGGUCUGAGAGGAUGAUCAGCCACACUGGAACUGAGACACGGCCCAGACUCCUACGGGAGGCAGCAGUGGGGAAUCUUGCGCAAUGGGCGAAAGCGUGACGCAGCAACGCCGCGUGAGGGAAGAAGGCCUUCGGGUUGUAAACCACUUUUAGGAGGGAAGAAGGUGUGGCGGUGAAUAGACGCCCGGACUGACGGUACCUCCACAAGAAGCCCCGGCUAACUACGUG